UACAGAGGUCCCAAGCGUUGUUCGGAUUCACUGGGCGUAAAGGGUGCGUAGGUGGUGGGGUAAGUCGGAUGUGAAAUCUCCGAGCUCAACUCGGAAAUUGCAUUGGAAACUACCCUGCUUGAGGGUCGGAGGGGGGACUGGAAUUCUCGGUGUAGCAGUGAAAUGCGUAGAUAUCGAGAGGAACACCAGUGGCGAAGGCGAGUCCCUGGACGACUCCUGACACUGAGGCACGAAAGCUAGGGGAGCAAACAGG
rnacentral:rRNA from 1 species